UACGGGGGGGGUAAGCGUUGUUCGGAAUUACUGGGCGUAAAGGGCGCGUAGGCGGCCACGACAAGUCACUUGUGAAAUCUCCGGGCUUAACUCGGAACGGUCAAGUGAUACUGUCGGGCUAGAGUGCAGAAGGGGCAACUGGAAUUCUCGGUGUAGCGGUGAAAUGCGUAGAUAUCUGAAGGAACAUCAGUGGCGAAAGCGACUUCCUGGACCAAUACUGACGCUCAUGUGCGAAAGCGUGGGGAGCAAACAGG
rnacentral:rRNA from 1 species